rnacentral:lncRNA from 1 species
AUGCAUCUGGAGCACAUUACCUCCAUUACCUCCACCUAUUCACUCUCUGUUACACUUCAUCCAGACUCUUUAUCUUCCACCCAGACUCUUUAUCUUCCACCCAGACUCUUUAUCUUCCACCCAAACUCUUUAUCAUCCACCCAGACUCCUUAUCUUCCAUCCAGACUCUUUAUCUUCCACCCAUACCCUUUAUCUUCCACCCAGACUCUUUAUCUCCACCCAGACCCUUUAUCUUCCACCCACACCCUUUAUCUUCAACCCAGACUCUUUAUCUUCCACCCAGACUCUUUAUCUUCCACCCAGACUCCUUAUCUUCCAUCCAGACUCUUUAUCUUCCAUCCAGACUCUUUAUCUUCCACCCAUACCCUUUAUUUUCCACCCAUACCCUUUAUCUUCAACCCAGACCCUUUAUCUUCCACCCAGACUCUUUAUCUUCCACCCAGACAAUUUAUCUUUAUCCAGACUCUUUAUCUUCCACCCAUACUUUUUUAUCCUCCACCCAGACCCUUUAACUUCCACCCAGACCCUUUAUCUUCCACCCAGACUCUUUAUCUUCCAUCCAGACUCUUUAUCUUCCAUCCAGAGUCUCUAUCUUCCACCCAGACUCUUUAUCUUUAUCCAGACCCUUUAUCUUCCAGCCAGACUCUUUACUUCCACCCAGACUCUUCAUCUUCCACCAAGACCCUAUCUUCCACCCAGACCCUUUAUCCUCCACACAGACUCUUUAUUUUCCACCUACGCUUUAUCUUCCAUCCAGACUCUUUAUCUUCCAUCCAGAGUCUCCUAUCUUCCACCAGACUCUUUAUCUUUAUCCAGACCCUUUAUCUUCCAGCCAGACUCUUUACCUUCCACCCAGACUCUUCAUCUUCCACCAAGACCCUUUAUCUUCCACCCAGACCCUAAUCUCCACACAACCUUUAGUUUCCACCCAGACCUUUUCUUCCAUCCGACGCUUAUCUUCCAUCCAGAGUCUCUAUCUUCCACACAACUCUUUUAUCUUAUCCAGACCCUUUUCUUCCAGCCAGACUCUUUACCUUCCACCAGAUCUUCAUCUCCACCAGACCUUUAUCUUCCACCCAGACUUUAUCUUCCACCCGACCUUAUUUUCCACCCAGACCUCUUUAUCUUCCACCUCCACGACUCUUUAGCUUCCACCCAGACUCUUUAUCUUCCACCCAGACUCGUUUAUCUUUAAUCCAGACCUUAUCUUUACCCAUACUCUUUAUUUUCCACACAGACCAUUU